rnacentral:rRNA from 1 species
CACGAAGGGUGCAAGCGUUAAUCGGAAUUACUGGGCGUAAAGGGUGCGUAGGCGGUUCGUUAAGUCUGUUGUGAAAUCCCCGGGCUCAACCUGGGAAUGGCAAUGGAUACUGGCGAGCUAGAGUGUGAUAGAGGAUGGUGGAAUUCCCGGUGUAGCGGUGAAAUGCGUAGAGAUCGGGAGGAACAUCAGUGGCGAAGGCGGCCAUCUGGAUCAACACUGACGCUGAAGCACGAAAGCGUGGGGAGCAAACAGG